GCCCAGGUGGUGAAAUUGGUAGACACGCUAGCUUGAGGGGCUAGUCCACACUAUUUUGUGGGUGGAGGUUCAAGUCCUCUCCUGGGCA
rnacentral:tRNA from 1 species